AUGUCUUGGUUUGGAUCCAAACCAGCUCCCAAGGGCAGCAUCCGGCCAUCUAUCUCCAACCCUCGGAUACCAUGGUCCUAGACCCACCCAAGGAUAGAGCUACGUGGGCUGACACUCUUCCUAUGAAAAGAAUACUGACACAGCAGACUGGGUUACGGGGCCAGUGUGGACUGAUGAGUAUGCAACUUUCCAGUCCUGAGAAAACUAGCAAGCAGACGGAAUGAUCUCUACGUAUAGCACCAAAUACACUCAAUUGCCUUCUUAAUGAAUGUACUCGUCUUGGAUGGGUUGCUGGUAAACCAUUUUAAAACUAUUUUUAUAGCAAAAGUUCUUCGCUAUUAUAAACAUGUCUUCUGUAUUAUAAAAUCCAUUUAAAAAGGAA
rnacentral:lncRNA from 1 species